rnacentral:misc_RNA from 1 species
AACAGAGGUGAUCCCUUAAAAUAAGAAAUACACAAUUAUAUAAAAAUACACACAACCUCAUUACGGCAUAUAUAAUCCCACAUAAACUCCAACUCCAGUCGCAGAUAAAUAUUUCAAACUACUCCCAUGUCAAAGGUCAAACAAAAUUGCUUUAAACUUUGAAGGCCAAGAGCCCCAGGGAAACUAAUUUAUGAGUUUGGGUAUUCCAUGCUUGCUAUGGCAAUGAUUGCCAUCAUCAGAGCAAGGUAUAUCAGAUUGAUCACCAAACCAACCUGUGAAGCACAAAUAUCAAAGGAUCCCAAGACGAGAAUUGAUGAUGAAAACAUUUAACAAUGUUUCAUGUAUUCUAAUGGUGUGAUAUUCCUAAUUUCCCAGAGCUUCACCCCUGUAUCAGUGCAAGUAUUCAAGGCAAUGCCAAUUUACAAAACUUAAACAAGAAACAAGAACAAAUGCAUUCCACCUUCCAUUGGAGAAGAAUAAGCAAUUAUUUCCUCAUGCUUCUCAGCAAUCUAAAAGUUAGAGAUUUGAACUGUGUUUGAGCAUUCUAUAGAAAAAUCCAAACAAAACAUUGAUGCUGGAGAAUGUUAUGUAGAAAAGCCCUUCAAGUCUCUAACUUUUAGAUUGCUGAGAAGCAUGAGGAAAUAAUUCCUCAGAAUAGCGUACAUGAUCACUGUGCAAAUAGGAUGAUUUUACAAUAUUUUCCCAUUUGGAACUAGUAGAGGAUGUCUUAGGAUCCUCCUGCUUACUCUGGAAACUGGUGCCUUGGUGUAAAUGCCAUGGCAGAUUUUGAGAGGAAAUUGAAGGCAGGGUACGCCAAAGCCAAGAUUCCGAAGGAGUUUUGGGUAGAAGUGGGGGAAGAGGAGUCUGCACUAAAUUGGUUUUUGCAUUUUGAGAAUCAAUGUUUGAAAUCUGAUUGCUAUCAAUAUUUAGAUUUCCUUCUGAGGUUGUACUUGCACAUACUAAGGCCUUUGAUUCCUGAGAUAAGUUCUCAGACCUGUCUGCUUUGCCUUUGUGAGAUGACCUGUCUAAGAGAAGAUAUAAAUCAGCUUCACCAGACUCCAAGCACUUGUGUUCCAGUUUACCCAUUCCCCCAGGAAGAUUCAGGCGUUUCGUGUCUUCAGAAAAAGAUUCUAUUGCAGCAGUUUCUUGAAUUUCUCUGCUAUUUAACAAAGAUUUAAGAUCCUUUUCUCCAGAGUCCACAAAACCCCUCUUAUUGAC